rnacentral:rRNA from 1 species
AUUGAACGCUGGCGGCAGGCCUAACACAUGCAAGUCGAACGAGUGGCGUCCGGGUGUGUAAUGUCUGGGAAACUGCCUGAAGGAGGGGGAUAACUCCUGGAAACGGUAGCUAAUACCGCAUACCAUCAGCUGUUCCCAGAUGGGUUUAGCUUGUUGGUGGGGUAACGGCCCACCAAGGCGUCGAUCCCUAGCUGGUCUGAGAGGAUGACCAGCCACACUGAAGCUGAGACACGGUCCAGACUCCUACGGAAGGCAGCAGUGGGGAAUAUUGCACAAUGGGCGCUAGCCUGAUGCAGCCAUGCCGCGUGUAUGAAGAAGGCAUUCGGGUUGUAAAGUACUUUCAGCGGGGAGGCGUUACCCGCAGAAGAAGCACCGGCUAACUCCGUGCCAGCGGCCGCGGUAAUUC